AGAUUGAAAUAGGAACAAUGAUAAAGAUGACCACAAUUUGCCGGACAUGUCGUAGAGAUGACUGGCUCCAGGUCUUCUGGAAUUGCCUUUAUGGAAAGGAAUUAUGAGAGAUUACUCUAAUAAGGAAAUGUUAGAGGCCUCAAUUUGAGAAAAUCUUAUGGAUGAUGAAUUGGAGAAGAGAAAGAUGGUCAUUAAUGGCCAAACCAGAGAGAUGGUUCAUUCAUUGACCCCCUGGGGGUAUCUACCACUCUUUACUAUUCUGCUGAGGAAGACAGAGGCAGCCACAAGAGUUUUGGGAAAGAGAUCUAUGGCAUGUAUGAGGUGAACCAACCUUGGCAGCAACCUCAUGAGUUUGAGAGGUCAGGAACUUUUUGAGUUCUUCAGUCAGGGCCUAAAAC
rnacentral:lncRNA from 1 species